AACGCGAAGAACCUUACCUACUCUUGACAUCUUCGGAAUCUUCUAGAAAUAGAUGAGUGCCUUCGGGAACCGAGAGACAGGUGCUGCAUGGCUGUCGUCAGCUCGUGUCGUGAGAUGUUGGGUUAAGUCCCGUAACGAGCGCAACCCUCGUCCUUAGUUGCCAGCACGUAAUGGUGGGAACUCUAAGGAGACCGCCGGUGAUAAACCGGAGGAAGGUGGGGAUGAUGUCAAGUCAUCAUGGCCCUUACGAGUAGGGCUACACGCGUGCUACAAUGGACAGUACAAAGGGUUGCAAAGCCGCGAGGUGAAGCUAAUCCCAAAAAGCUGUUCGUAGUCCGGAUUGGAGUCUGCAACUCGACUCCAUGAAGUUGGAAUCGCUAGUAAUCGCGAAUCAGAACGUCGCGGUGAAUACGUUCUCGGGCCUUGUACACACCGCUCGUC
rnacentral:rRNA from 1 species